rnacentral:rRNA from 1 species
AGUGAACGCUGGCGGUAGGCCCAACACAUGCAAGUCGAACGGCAGCACAGUAAGAGCUUGCUCUUACGGGUGGCGAGUGGCGGACGGGUGAGGAAUACAUCGGAAUCUACUUUUUCGUGGGGGAUAACGUAGGGAAACUUACGCUAAUACCGCAUACGACCUACGGGUGAAAGCAGGGGAUCUUCGGACCUUGCGCGAUUGAAUGAGCCGAUGUCGGAUUAGCUAGUUGGCGGGGUAAAGGCCCACCAAGGCGACGAUCCGUAGCUGGUCUGAGAGGAUGAUCAGCCACACUGGAACUGAGACACGGUCCAGACUCCUACGGGAGGCAGCAGUGGGGAAUAUUGGACAAUGGGCGCAAGCCUGAUCCAGCAAUACCGCGUGGGUGAAGAAGGCCUUCGGGUUGUAAAGCCCUGUUGUUGGGAAAGAAAAGCAGCAGGUUAAUACCCCGCUGUUCUGACGGUACCCAAAGAAUAAGCACCGGCUAACUUCGUG